rnacentral:rRNA from 1 species
CCUACGGGAGGCAGCAGUAGGGAAUCUUUCACAAUGGGCGAAAGCCUGAUGGAGCAACGCCGCGUGCAGGAUGAAGGCCUUCGGGUUGUAAACUGCUUUUAUAAGCGAGAAAUAUGAUGGUAACUUAUGAAUAAGGAUCGGCUAACUACGUGCCAGCAGCCGCGGUCAUACGUAGGAUCCGAGCAUUAUCCGGAGUGACUGGGUGUAAAGAGUUGCGUAGGUGGCAUAAUAAGUAGCUAGUGAAAUCUGAUGGCUCAACCAUUCAGACUAUUAGCAAAACUGUUAAGCUCGAGAACGUUAGGGGUAACUGGAAUUUCUGGUGUAGGAGUGAAAUCCGUAGAUAUUAGGAGGAACACCAAUAGCGAAGGCAGGUUACUGGGACGGUUCUGACACUAAGGCACGAAAGCGUAGGGAGCAAACGGGAUUAGAUACCCGGGUAGUC